GAUAAACGCUGGCGGCGUGCCUUAUGCAUGCAAGUCGAACGAUCUUGAUUUAUCAAGAUAGUGGCAAACGGGUGAGAAAAACGUAAGUAACCUACCUCUAAGUAGGGGAUAACACCGGGAAACCAGUGCUAAUACCGUAUGUGGUGGUGGAGGUAAUGCUCCAUCACUAAAGCCUUCGGGCGCUUGGAGAGGGGCUUGUGUCCGAUUAGCUAGUUGGUGGAGUAACGGUUCACCAAGGCGAAGAUCGGUAGCUGGUCUGAGAGGACGGUCAGCCACACUGGGACUGAGACACGGCCCAGACUCCUACGGGUGG
rnacentral:rRNA from 1 species